AUUGAUGCUGACGAGUCCCAAACAGAACGAAACACGCGUCCUGAAU
rnacentral:hammerhead_ribozyme from 1 species